GAAAUCAUACUAUACAGAAUCAUUUCUGUAGUGUGUAUUUCGCAAUCCCAACCAAAAAGCGACACCUGUCCACCGCGAUGAACGGGAGACGGGCGAGUUGCGAGCGGGAAGAACGCGACUUGUGGCGCUGAGGACCGUGACGCGGCCGAAAGGACGCGUCGGCGACUCGCUCUUCUGAGCGGU
rfam:Ancylostoma duodenale strain Zhejiang A_duodenale-1.0_Cont8807.2, whole genome shotgun sequence.